rnacentral:rRNA from 1 species
AGCGGCGGACGGGUGAGUAACACGUGGGUAACCUGCCCAAGAGACUGGGAUAACACCUGGAAACAGAUGCUAAUACCGGAUAACAACACCAGACGCAUGUCUAGAGUUUGAAAGAUGGUUCUGCUAUCACUCUUGGAUGGACCUGCGGUGCAUUAGCUAGUUGGUAAGGUAACGGCUUACCAAGGCAAUGAUGCAUAGCCGAGUUGAGAGACUGAUCGGCCACAUUGGGACUGAGACACGGCCCAAACUCCUACGGGAGGCAGCAGUAGGGAAUCUUCCACAAUGGACGAAAGUCUGAUGGAGCAACGCCGCGUGAGUGAAGAAGGGUUUCGGCUCGUAAAGCUCUGUUGGUAGUGAAGAAAGAUAGAGGUAGUAACUGGCCUUUAUUUGACGGUAAUUACUUAGAAAGUCACGGCUAACUACGUGCCAGCAGCCGCGGUAAUACGUAGGUGGCAAGCGUUGUCCGGAUUUAUUGGGCGUAAAGCGAGUGCAGGCGGUUCAAUAAGUCUGAUGUGAAAGCCUUCGGCUCAACCGGAGAAUUGCAUCAGAAACUGUUGAACUUGAGUGCAGAAGAGGAGAGUGGAACUCCAUGUGUAGCGGUGGAAUGCGUAGAUAUAUGGAGGAACACCAGUGGCGAAAGCGGCUCUCUGGUCUGCAACUGACGCUGAGGCUCGAAGGCAUGGGUAGCGAACAGGAUUAGAUACCCUGGUAGUCCAUGCCGUAACGAUGAGUGCUAAGUGU